rnacentral:rRNA from 1 species
AGAGUUUGAUCCUGGCUCAGAUUGAACGCUGGCGGCAUGCCUUACACAUGCAAGUCGAACGGUAACGCGGGGGCAACCCUGGCGACGAGUGGCGAACGGGUGAGUAAUACAUCGGAACAUAUCCAGUAGCGGGGGAUAACCUAUCGAAAGAUGGACUAAUACCGCAUACGAUCUACGGAUGAAAGCAGGGGACCGCAAGGCCUUGCACUAUUGGAGUGGCCGAUGUCGGAUUAGCUAGUUGGUGGGGUAAAAGCUUACCAAGGCGACGAUCCGUAGCUGGUCUGAGAGGACGAUCAGCCACACUGGAACUGAGACACGGUCCAGACUCCUACGGGAGGCAGCAGUGGGGAAUUUUGGACAAUGGGCGCAAGCCUGAUCCAGCCAUGCCGCGUGAGUGAAGAAGGCCUUCGGGCUGUAAAGCUCUUUCGGUGAAGACGAAACGGUUCAUGCUAAUAACGUGAACUAAUGACGGUACUCACAGAAGAAGCACCGGCUAACUACGUGCCAGCAGCCGCGGUAAUACGUAGGGUGCAGGCGUUAAUCGGAAUUACUGGGCGUAAAGCGUGCGCAGGCGGUUUGCUAAGACAGGUGUGAAAUCCCCGGGCUUAACCUGGGAAUUGCGCUUGUAACUGGCAAGCUAGAGUGUGGCAGAGGGGGGUGGAAUUCCACGUGUAGCAGUGAAAUGCGUAGAUAUGUGGAGGAACACCGAUGGCGAAGGCAGCCCCCUGGGUUAACACUGACGCUCAUGCACGAAAGCGUGGGGAGCAAACAGGAUUAGAUACCCUGGUAGUCCACGCCCUAAACUAUGUCAACUAGUUGUCGGGGAAGAAAUUCCUUGGUAACGAAGCUAACGCGUGAAGUUGACCGCCUGGGGAGUACGGCCGCAAGGUUAAAACUCAAAGGAAUUGACGGGGACCCGCACAAGCGGUGGAUUAUGUGGAUUAAUUCGAUGCAACGCGAAAAACCUUACCUACCCUUGACAUGCUAGGAAGCCCGCAGAGAUGUGGGUGUGCCCGAAAGGGAACCUAGACACAGGUGCUGCAUGGCUGUCGUCAGCUCGUGUCGUGAGAUGUUGGGUUAAGUCCCGCAACGAGCGCAACCCUUGCCAUUAGUUGCUACAUUCAGUUGGGCGCUCUAAUGGGACCGCCGGUGACAAACCGGAGGAAGGUGGGGAUGACGUCAAGUCCUCCUGGCCCUUAUGGGUAGGGCUUCACACGUAAUACAAU